rnacentral:rRNA from 1 species
GGUGAACGCUGGCGGCAUGCCUAACACAUGCAAGUCGAACGAGACCUUCGGGUCUAGUGGCGCACGGGUGCGUAACGCGUGGGAAUCUACCCUUGGGUUCGGAAUAACAGUUAGAAAUGACUGCUAAUACCGGAUGAUGACGUAAGUCCAAAGAUUUAUCGCCCAAGGAUGAGCCCGCGUAAGAUUAGCUUGUUGGUGGGGUAAUGGCCUACCAAGGCGACGAUCUUUAGCUGGUCUGAGAGGAUGAUCAGCCACACUGGGACUGAGACACGGCCCAGACUCCUACGGGAGGCAGCAGUGGGGAAUAUUGGACAAUGGGCGAAAGCCUGAUCCAGCAAUGCCGCGUGAGUGAUGAAGGCCUUAGGGUUGUAAAGCUCUUUUACCAGGGAUGAUAAUGACAGUACCUGGAGAAUAAGCUCCGGCUAACUCCGUGCCAGCCGCCGCCGUAA